GUUUUACCUAAGUAAAGCUUUACCGGAAAGGCUAAACUAGCCUCGAAGAAACUUGGUGUGCUCAGUAGGGCGAAGCAGUAUUUCAUGCCCUGCCACCGCCUACAAUUAUAUAAGGCACAGAUCCGGCCCCACAUGGAAUACUGCUCUCACCUAUGGGCUGGGGCGCCCCAGUACCAGCUCCUUCCAUUUGACCGUGUUCAACGCCGAGCGGCUCGAAUCGUUGGCGA